UUUUUCUCCUUUUAUAGCAGAAGCUUUUAGGCUAAGAAGUCCGUUACUGCUGAGUUCUCUCUCCAUUCCCCCAGGUGGGUGAGGUCAACUGAGCCUGGGCCCCCCCCAAUGCCCAGCUGACCUGCACAGAGCUGCCAACUGACCACACUGCAACACUUACCCUCUGUACGUCCUCUGUCUCUGUCCCUCUCUGCUUCACCCCCUGGCUGUUUCUCUCUGUGUCCAGCCAUAUGUCUCUAUCUUGGACCCAAGUGAUCCAGAGAUGGGUUAGUCAAGCCUUCUCCACUGCCAAGCACCUGCAGACUCCUGCCUGGGAGUUGUAUUUGCAUGAAUGCAGCUGUGGAAAAGAAAAGAAUAAAGCCAAAAAGGGAGCGUGUAGGGAGGAGGGAAGUGCACCUUCUAGAACUAAGUGCUCCCCUUGUAGGUGGAACCACGUUUUUUUUGCAGUUUCCAUUUCUGGGGAGAAAAGGGAAUGACCAGAUUUUUUGCACUGGGAUCUUGACACAGGAAGUAGCCAAUACCUGAGAGGCACGGUUGAGGGUUGGGUCUGGUGUGUGUCAGUGAGGAGAGAAGAGCCCAGGGCUCACAGCUGGAGUCAGCCCCGGGGCACCUUGGUAUGUACCCUUCACACAGGACCCACCAUAAAGCCCGUUGGAACUCUGCCAAGAGGCCCCAUAUGCAGUUUCCUGAAGAAAGAAGGGCAAGCUUCUGACAUAACUUCAACUGAGACAACUCCCAACUCAAGAUUGAGCCUGUGUGCUUCGUGAAGGAUGCUCCAAAGUGUGGAAGCAAUUUCAUCUAUAAAUCCCACAUUAAGCCAGUUCCUAAAAGACUUCAGACUAUCCCCUUCAUCUCUAUCCCCCCAUGGAGCCUUAGCCAGUGAUAAGAGACCCAACACACCGCUGGUCCAAGAGAUAACCCAGGAAAAUGACUCGUCCGUCUACACAACACAAGACGGCAAGACUACACUGCUAGAAGACUUUUGUGAGUAAACAAAAAGGCCUAAGCUGGCUGGAUUGGUCCAGUGAAUCUAACUCACUGGCCAGUGACUGGAGAACUGGGAUGUCAGGGUCAGGAGGUAAUGGUUUGGUGGGGCAAUGACUCCCGAGCUCCAUGAACCACUUCAGCAUAAUAGAUGAUUCCCAAAACCGCUUGCCCUAUUCAACCCCACACAGCAUUAGAGAGGAUUAAAAAUAAUAAUGAUAGUAAUGGGCUAUGUUCAUAUGAAUGGAAACUUAGAAAACAUAGUAUUAGCAAUGUAUUAGAAGUAGAAGGCAUUGAAAAAUAUCUAAUUGAUUUUCCAGUAUAGAAAGUUGAGGCCCAGAGAAAUGAAGUGACUUGCGCAAGGUCAUGCGAUCAUUUAAGGUCCUAGCUUGGACCAGAACACAAAUCCCUUGGCUAUUAGUCUAAUGCUUUUUCGACUACAUUUGCUGCCUCUAGGAGCAGUGAUACUUUGGAAAAGACCCGUCAAAGAGCACAUGCUGUAAUUAGAGACACAGUCUUACGUAAAUGUCAAUACUACGUGGACACGGCCUUGGAAACCAUUUGUGCUGAUACAAACCAUCCUUUUGAAAUCACCAUUCUCUGGGUAGAAACAGCUAUGGACUAUCAAUUCUGUCUGAGAACAAACAACAAAAUGGUGAACAGUUUUCCUUCAGCCAAAUGUUACUUCUUCUCAAUGAAGAGAGCUGAAACGUUUCAAAGCAUACCUUCUAGAGUCUUUUUGAUCCUUACUACAGUCUCUGAUGAGUAGUAGGUCAGGUAACUAAGUCCUUGGUUCACAGAGAGGGAAAAUAGGGGGAAAGAAGCUGAGUGACUUCUCCAAGUUCUCAUGGCAAGUUAGUGGCAAGACUGUGAUUGCAAUCCAGGGCUGAGACAUCUCGUCCUGAGAUUUUUCUUCCUCUGGGGCUUGCUUCUGUUUUUAAUACUUGGAUUUCAACGGUGGUGAUUAGGGGGAGGACGCAUUCCAUUCAGGACCACCGGGAUCCAGGACCUCCAGAGGCGAACUCUGUGCAUUUCGCCUUCAACCGCUACUCUUUUAAUGUGUCAAAUUCAGGACUGACUUCCGACUGAAAGACCGGAUAUUCUCAGUGACAGUUGAACAUAGUCUACAAUCACACAGGAGUUUCAGGCCAGCAAGUAGAAAAGCAAAACUAAGAGGAACAAAGAAUUUGAACAGAAAUUAAAGUGGACAGUUAAUGCUGAUCUUGUGAAUGUGCUUGAGGACUUUUACCUAGUUUUCAAAAUACCAUUCCUGCAGUUCAGGACUGUGUUACUUCUUGGUCAGAACAUAGGCAGAAGUGUACUUGAAAUGUGUACGUAGAUUUUUUUUCCUUGACUUUUUAACUUUGCACAGGUAGUGGUUGUAGUUGAGCUAAAUCUAGACUCUACGAUUAUCAACGAAGUCCAGCGGUCCAGGCUCCCUUACUUUAAUCAUCAGGUAACUACAGGCAGAAAGAUCCCAAUGCUGUUAAUCUAAGGCAAUAGUAGUUUCCCUUCUAAACUAGUUGGCGUGGUAACCAUAACAGGAAACUGGAAGACUUUUCUUUUUGAUUUCCUUAAGAAAUCUCAUUUGCAAAGCUUUAAACUGACUGGAUGAAGGAAAACCAUUUUUAUGACCCAUGACCCUUGGAGCCCAAACAGCAUCAUGAAGAGAAAGUGGCUUUCAGAAAAAGAAACAGCUUUAAAGGGGUUCCUUUUGAGUCUUGUUUUCUAUUCAGAAUGUUCUAUGUUUUUCUCAUCAAGUGUGGGAAUGACAUUUAUCUUAGCAGGUUACUUAACUACACUGGAUGAUGUCACUCGAAACCAGUGUAGGGCACUGACCCAAACCCUGGGGGGCUCCUUGGACCAAUAGACUAUUUUACAAACCUGGGAGGUGGGAGGGAUGGUAUAUUUUUGAUAAUCAGACAUUCCAAUGUAAUGUUUUCCUUAGAGGUCAUCCCCCCAUUAAUGUUAUCGUGAAAAACAUCAAGUGUGUUCUUUUCUAUUUUCAUAUAAUAAAUGAGCUUUGCUUACCAACAUCACAAUGGCAAAGAAAUACUGUACAAAACUGCAGGAAGAUAAAACAUGUGAAAACUUUGUAUGGAAAAAAAACUCUUGAGUUUCCUGUCGUCUUCUUUUGAAACUGUAGUGCAUAUGUUAAAACGUAUUAUCAUUUACAGUAUUGAGUCAUGUGCCACUGCUGUACCUGAUGUAUCCAAUCCGGAUUAAACAAACUAUGUGCCACAAACCCUAA